rnacentral:rRNA from 1 species
GUGCCAAGCAGCCGCGGUAAUCCCAGCUCCAAUAGCGUAUAUUAAAGUUGUUGCCGUUAAAAAGCUCGUAGUCGAACUUCGGCGCCUGAUGGCCGGUCCGCCUUCUUGGUGUGUACUUGCUCAUCGGGCGCUUACCUCCUGGUGAACUCUGAUGUCCUUUACUGGGUGUCAGAGCAAACCAGGACGUUUACUUUGAAAAAAUUAGAGUGUUCAAAGCAGGCCUACGCCCGAAUACAUUAGCAUGGAAUAAUAGAAUAGGACGCGCGUUCCCAUUUUGUUGGUUUCUGAGAUCGCCGUAAUGAUUAAUAGGGAUAGUUGGGGGCAUUUGUAUUCCGUCGUCAGAGGUGAAAUUCUUGGAUUGCCGGAAGACAAACUACUGCGAAAGCAUUUGCCAAGGAUGUUUUCAUUGAUCAAGAACGAAGGAAGGGGGAUCGAAAACGAUCAGAUACCGUUGUAGUCUCUUCUGUAAACUAUGCCAAUUGGGGAUUAGCACAGGAUUUUCAAUGACUGUGUUAGCACCCGAAGAGAAAUCUUUAAAUGAGGUUCGGGGGGGAGUAUGGUCGCAAGGCUGAAACUUAAAGGAAUUGACGGAAGGGCACCACCAGGUGUGGAGCCUGCGGCUUAAUUUGACUCAACACGGGGAAACUCACCAGGUCCAGACACAAUAAGGAUUGACAGAUUGAUAGCUCUUUCUUGAUCUUGUGGUUGGUGGUGCAUGGCCGUUCUUAGUUGGUGGAGUGAUUUGUCUGGUUAAUUCCGAUAACGAACGAGACCUUAACCUGCUAAAUAGACCAGUCGACUUUGGUUGACUGCUGUCUUCUUAGAGGGACUAUCAGCGUUUAGCUGAUGGAAGUUUGAGGCAAUAACAGGUCUGUGAUGCCCAAGGG